rnacentral:rRNA from 1 species
UAGUAGAGGAUAGCCCGGCGAAAGUCGGAUUAAUACUCUAGUGUUUUCCAAUGCAGACAUCUAAAAUGGAACAAAAGGUUUACCGCUAUAGGAUGGGGGAUGCGUCUGAUUAGAGUAGUAGGCGGGGUAACGGCCCACCUAGUCGACGAUCAGUAGGGGUUCUGAGAGGAAGGUCCCCCACAUUGGAACUGAGACACGGUCCAAACUCCUACGGGAGGCAGCAGUGAGGAAUAUUGGUCAAUGGGCGAGAGCCUGAACCAGCCAAGUAGGCCGUGCAGGAUGACGGCCCUAUGGGUUGUAAACUGCUUUUAUAUAGGGAUAAAGUGACCCACGUGUGGGUUUUUGUAGGUACUAUAUGAAUAAGGACCGGCUAAUUCCGUGCCAGCCGCAGC